UGGGGGAUAUUGCACAAUGGGCGAAAGCCUGAUGCAGCGACGCCGCGUGGGGGAUGAAGGCUUUCGGGUUGUAAACCUCUUUCGCUAUCGAACAAGGCCCGCUUAGGGUGGGUUGAGGGUAGGUGGAGAAGAAGCGCCGGCUAACUACGUGCCAGCAGCCGCGGUAAUACGUAGGGCGCGAGCGUUGUCCGGAAUUAUUGGGCGUAAAGGGCUUGUAGGCGGCUUGUUGCGCCUGCUGUGAAAACGCGGGGCUUAACUUCGCACGUGCAGUGGGUACGGGCAUGCUUGAGUGUGGUAGGGGUGACUGGAAUUCCAGGUGGAGCGGUGGAAUGCGCAGAUAUCUGGAGGAGCACAGAUGGCGAAGGCAGGUCACUGGGCCAUUACGGACGCUGAGGAGCGAAAGCAUGGGUAGCGAACAGG
rnacentral:rRNA from 1 species